GCAGUCGACGGUAACAGGAAGCAGCUUGCUGCUUYGCUGACGAGUGGCGGMCGGKURAGUAAUGUCUGGGAAACUGCCUGAUGGAGGGGGAUAMCYWCUGGAAACGGUAGCUAAUACCGCAUAACGUCGCAAGACCAAAGAGGGGGACCUUCGGGCCUCUUGCCAUCGGAUGUGCCCAGAUGGGAUUAGCUAGUAGGUGGGGUAACGGCUCACCUAGGCGACGAUCCCUAGCUGGUCUGAGAGGAUGACCAGCCACACUGGAACUGAGACACGGUCCAGACUCCUACGGGAGGCAGCAGUGGGGAAUAUUGCACAAUGGGCGCAAGCCUGAUGCAGCCAUGCCGCGUGUAUGAAGAAGGCCUUCGGGUUGUAAAGUACUUUCAGCGGGGAGGAAG
rnacentral:rRNA from 1 species